CGUAGCCUACCAAUAAAGUACACACACAGCCGAUCACGAAGCAGCCGACGAACCCCUUUACGCGUGUGCCCCAGCCGAGUGUGGAAGCUUCGUUGGCAGCCUAAACACCGAGUUCAGAUCAUACCGGAAACCUGUCCGUGCAUUACACCAACCUCCCCCAUUGCCCCUGUACAACUACCUGAUAUGGACAGUGGUAGAACAUGUGACCGACUCCAGCAUGGGGACCCGUACCUUCGAUGAAGAAGGCGAGAGCCAACGCCAGCCGGUCCAGGGCGAGGGGCGCGGCUUCCGUGACGUGAACGACCAGCGAGACGGCGCCGGCCAGCGAGAAGAACAGGUACAUGGUGGCGUGCUGCCAGUUCAUCAGGUCCUUCCACUGGUUUUCCGACGUGUCGUACAGUCGGAGGUGCGGGCCACCCGCCGCAAACUGCUCCGCCAACAUCCCUGAGGAGGGCAACGUUCUGUCUUCAGUCAUUCUGCGUCAGCAUUGGUCAAUGGCAUCACAUGAUAAAUCAAGCUUCUGCAUAACUCUUAAAGGUGACAUAGUAUACCACCAGGUGUGAGUGUGAUUAGCCGUUACAAGCCGUUUUAAAAAUAUGCCUCUUCUGAUAUCACAAGUGGGCGUUUCUGUCUAGAUGUAUGACGGAUAGAUGAGCAAUGUUUGCCACAGUCCACUGGGUUGGCUGAUACACUGAUCUAUCCAGCACACAUCUAGGUGGACACGCCCACUUGUGAUGUCAGAAGAGGCAGAUUUUCCAAAAGGCUUGCAAUGGCUAAUCACACUCACACCUGGUGGUAUAAUAUGGCACCUUUAAUUAAUGCAAGGACCUUAAAUGGUUACUAGUAGUAGUUUCCUCAUGGGUAAAAAACUAACGUCUGUAUGUUUGUUUAUGCGCACCUUUAAACCAAAUGAUCAAAUCUUUAACUUUUUUUAUCUGCCAAAAUAAAUUGAAUAGAUACAGCUAAUAAACCAGCCAUCUCCCAUGACACACAGCUAUAGAGGUUGUGGAUAACUCUGUGUAGCCUACUUCUUACUACAAAAGUAGUAAGAGGUAUGCUACACAUACAUUAACGUACACACUACACAUCCCAUAAUUGAAGUGAUAGAAUAAAGAAAAACAACUAACAUUAGCAUGUAGCAUUACCGCUACAGCUCAUAACAGCAUAUCGACCAGCUGGUUAACCCUUGAUGCAGACCAGUCCACCUACCGACCACAGAGAAGAGGAGCAUGAGGGAGCUCUCCAUGACCUCCAGGCGGCGCUGGGACACUCUGCUGGCCAGGCGGGUGGAGCCAAGGCACUUGUUACGGCGGGUGGCGUACCAGAAGGAGUACUUCCCGGUCCACCACAGCCCGCCGAUCAGGAAGAAGCUCCCAGGAAGAGCGUGGCCCUUGAAGCUUCCCAUGAUGCCUCG